UGCUGGUCGCGAGCCCUCCUGGUGCGCGUGCACACUGGCUUGCAGGGAAGCCGUUGAAAGCAGGGGCGGAAGAGCUUCUCUUUCCAACUGUGCCACCUAGCAUAUCUGCACCACCUGCUUCGAGCUGCAGAGGGCGCUGCGGCAACAAAAGCCUCUUGGAAAAAAGGACCAGAUACCAAUGAAAACAAGUAGCCCAGAUGAUUCAGCCUCUCGGAAAGCCUCUAUUGCAGUUUCCUCAAAAUUCUGCAUCUAGAACAACUUCAAAGUCACUAGCUAAGAUGAUCCAGCCUCAGAGACUACUCUAACUAGGACUUCAGAAAAGCCCUGAACAGACACUGGACAACAAAAGUUACAGCAGUUUUCCGAGGACUUCUCAGGGUCUUCUAAAGAUGCUAUCACCCCCAGACAACAGGAAGCAGUCUAGAAAACACAAUGCCCACAUUCCCAAGAGGAGCUGGUGGGACAGAGAAAGACUCAUUACAAAUUCCCUUGUGCCUCUUCCUUUGGAAAAUUUUGUGUGGACUUUGAAGGAGGAAAAUGUAUGAAAUGGCAACCGUUUUAAACAAAAUAAUUCUUUGGAAAAAAUACCUGCCACCAUGGAACCAUAUAGUGUGUUGACUCUUCACACAAGAAUCCCCACUGUGCCCUCCUGAUUACACCAAGAACAGGAAAGUUAGGGAUUUACUAACUGAGCACAUCUGACUCCAAGUAUGAAACCCAUGCAAUGCAGAUCCAGAGCCUGAGGCCACUAAGGACAAGAGCUCAGUUAAUAAGUGUAGAGGAGUCAGAAUGAUAUGAUAUGAAGGAAAAAGAAUGAAGCAUCUUUCCUUUGGGGAGCCUGUGAGGGGAACAGACCCAUAUAGCUGUACCCCAUUACCAUUUGGAGGUGCGCACUGCUAUGGAUGUGAUGCGUGUGUGUGCACAGCAUGCAGGUGUGGACGUCAGAGGACAAACUUGGGCGCUGGUUUUCGGGCACAGUCCACAUUUUAAGACACAGUCUCUUGGUGGCCUGGAACUUUGCCACACGAGCAAGUCUUAGUGUGGUGUCUGGCUUUUCCGUGGAUUUCAGAGAUCCAAACUGAUGUCUCCAGGCUCCUGAGGUUGAGCGCUUUGCUGACUGAGCCUUCUUCUCAGCUUCCUAUCACCUUCUGGGCUUCCCCAGAGUCCUGCCUUUCUCACAGUCUUCCCUCCGAGAUCUCCUACAGAUCCCAGGACUGGAGAUCAAGGACCUCCCCAGGUUGUUCAUAUGCGCCCUUCAUCACAUCUCUAAACCGGUCACCUGAACUGAGUCAAGUCCCUCAGUAUUUCCUCUCCAUGCUCUGAGAGCCUUCUGCGCAUGUGCUCUGCCACCUCCUGCCUGGGCCCUCUGCAUCUGUCUGGACAACAGCAGAACUUCUGCAUUGUCUGGUUGGGAAACCAUCUUUGCUAUCAGAACUUCAGUUUGCCCCCUGGGGCAGUGCCAGGCAAGAGGGAUGGGUGCAGCACCACCUUAGCCUGUGUAGCUGGGAGAGCCAGCGUCCUGUGACUGUUUCCUCUAUGGAAUGGGGGCCGCUAGAGAAGACCCUCUUGUGGCUAAUGUGGGAAUUGCAGCCAUUGCAUAGCACCCAGCCUGGAGUACAUCACGUGACUCCCCACGUGGGCGGUGGAGGCAGAAGGAUCAGGGAGUAAACUGGCGCCAGCGCCUGCCUGUGUGUCUGUUCCCCUUCUGUUUCUGCUGGAGAUGCACUUUUGGCCACUGUGAAGCCUAUAGUGUAGCCAAGACAGCCCCCCCCUCAGCUUACAUGUGGUACAGGUGCAGGAAGGGGGCGGGGAGAGGAGAAGGUUGACUGUACUGCAUUCCUUCUAACCCCUAGUGAAGCAGCAGCUUCCCGAUUUUAUCUCAUUUUUUGUAUCUUCCCCCACUGCCCAGAUGUGUGUUGACCUGCCUGCCUGUGACUCCAGGAUUCUGGAAUCUGAGGCAAGAAGAUGAUUUGUGCUCAGAAAUUCAGACUUACUCUAGGCAGUGCAGGAUGAAAUUUCAAAUACCAAAUAAAA